rfam:Oryza punctata chromosome 6, whole genome shotgun sequence.
CCUCCGUUCCAAAAUAAAUACCGUUUUACACUGCUCGUUCGUCUUAUUUAAAAAAAUUAUGAUAAGCAUGUUAAUUAUCAUUAGAUGAUAGAACAUGAAUGGUACUUUAUGUGUGACUAAUUUUUUAAAUUUUUUUAUGAAUUUUUUAAAUGAGACAGAUGGUCAAACUACGGAUACACACGAUACACACGGCUGCACUUAUU